rnacentral:rRNA from 1 species
GAUGAACGCUGGCGGCGUGCCUAAUACAUGCAAGUCGAGCGAACGGACGAGAAGCUUGCUUCUCUGAUGUUAGCGGCGGACGGGUGAGUAACACGUGGAUAACCUACCUAUAAGACUGGGAUAACUUCGGGAAACCGGAGCUAAUACCGGAUGAUAUUUUGAACCGCAUGGUUCAAAAGUGAAAGACGGUCUUGCUGUCACUUAUAGAUGGAUCCGCGCUGCAUUAGCUAGUUGGUAAGGUAACGGCUUACCAAGGCAACGAUGCAUAGCCGACCUGAGAGGGGGAUCGGCCACACUGGAACUGAGACACGGUCCAGACCCCUACGGGAGGCAGCAGUAGGGAAUCUUCCGCAAUGGGCGAAAGCCUGACGGAGCAACGCCGCGGGAGUGAUGAAGGUCUUCGGAUCGUAAAACUCUUUUAUUAGGGAAAAACAUAUGUGUAAGUAACUGUGCAACUCUUGACGGUACCUAAACAGAAAACCACGGCUAACUACGU